CCUACGGGAGGCUGCAGUGGGGAAUAUUGGGCAAUGGGCGCAAGCCUGAUCCAGCAACGCCGCGUGAAGGAAGAAGGCUUUCGGGUUGUAAACCUCUUUUAUGAGGGACGAAAGAAAUGACGGUACUUCAUGAAUAAGCCACGGCUAACUACGUGCUAGCAACCGCGGUAAUACGUAGGUGGUAAGCGUGAUCCGGAUUUAUCGGGUGUAAAGGGCGGGUAGGCGGGACUGUAAGUCGGCUGUGAAAAUUAGGGGCUCAACCCCUAAACUGCAUUUGAAACUGCAGUUCUUGAGUGAUGGAGAGGGAGGCGGAAUUCCGGGUGUAGCAGUGAUAUGCGUAGAUAUACGGAGGAACACCAGUGGCGAAGGCGGCCUGCUGGACAUUAACUGACGCUGAGGCGCGAAGGCGUGGGGAGCAAACAGGAUUAGAUACCCUUGUAGUC
rnacentral:rRNA from 1 species